UGAGGCCCUGAGCUAGAAUUGCUUUACACGGUUCAGUAUUAUGAAGAUACAAAAUUGUUGAAAUCGUUCCUUGAAUUGUGACGUCACUAUAUGAUCUAGAUAUUCUUGCUAUGGAUACUUCAUUUUAUUGGUUCCGCAAAAGGAACCAAUCCAAAAGGAAGGUAACACGCUCCUUGGUCCAUACGCGCCAGGUGCUUUUGGUCCAUCAUCCGCCGCCUGCUAUAGGGUUGCGAGGCCACCAUUAGUACAUGGUUUAUACUCACCAGAUGCUUAUGGUCUUAUAGUAUUUUCAUUUGGCAUGGUUCCUUAACCAAAUUGGAGUCCUUACUCGGAUGAGUAUUUUUCAUAUCAUGGCAUGGUUGACAGUGCAAGAUCUUAGAAUGCCAUCUGAAGCUAUUGCAGAUUAUAAAACACCUGAAUUAUGUGAUAUUUUUGAAGCUUUCUUUUUCUCCUCAUCACACACUCAAGCAAUGAAGAUGUUCUGCGUAUAAUAUUUGCCUCACCAACAGCAACUAGAACAUCUGUACUUGAGUUGACCAGAAAAUUGACUAUUAAUGGUGAUUCAGUAAUUAACCACUCAUCCCCUACAUCUAGAUGUUUAAGCCAUGAUAAUUCAGAAGAACAAGACGAUUCAGGCUUAGUCGAUGCGCUUGCUGUUGCAAUAUCUAAUGUGAGGAUUUCCGAACCCAAAAGGAGCAGGCUAUGUGUGCCUACAAGUCCAAUUCGAGAGCAGCGUUCUUCUAAU